rnacentral:rRNA from 1 species
AUUGAACGCUGGCGGCAUGCCUUACACAUGCAAGUCGAACGGCGGCACGGGUGCUUGCACCUGGUGGCGAGUGGCGAACGGGUGAGUAAUAUAUCGGAACGUACCUUAUUGUGGGGGAUAACGCAGCGAAAGCUGUGCUAAUACCGCAUAAUCCCUAAGGGGGAAAGCGGGGGACCGUAAGGCCUCGCGCAAUUAGAGCGGCCGAUACCUGAUUAGCUAGUUGGUGAGGUAAAGGCUCACUAAGGCAACGAUCAGUAGCUGGUCUGAGAGGACGAUCAGCCACACUGGGACUGAGACACGGCCCAGACUCCUACGGGAGGCAGCAGUGGGGAAUUUUGGACAAUGGGGGCAACCCUGAUCCAGCAAUGCCGCGUGAGUGAAGAUGGCCUUCGGGUUGUAAAGCUCUUUUGUCAGGGAAGAAACAGCAGCUCUAACACAGUUUGCGAAUGACGGUACCUGAAGAAUAAGCACCGGCUAACUACGUGCCAGCAGCCGCAGUAA